rnacentral:rRNA from 1 species
UACGUAGGGACCGAGCGUUGUCCGGAAUCAUUGGGCGUAAAGAGCGUGUAGGCGGUCUUUUAAGUCCUGCGUGAAAUCCUGCGGCUCAACCGCAGACGGUCGUGGGAAACUGGAAGGCUAGAGUGCGGGAGAGGAGAGUGGAAUUCCCGGUGUAGCGGUGAAAUGCGCAGAUAUCGGGAAGAACACCCGUGGCGAAGGCGGCUCUCUGGAACGCAACUGACGCUGAGACGCGAAAGCGUGGGGAGCAAACAGG